UACGUAGGGUGCAAGCGUUUAAUCGGAAUUACUGGGCGUAAAGUGUGCGCAGGUGGCCGAGCAAGUCGAGUGUGAAAUCCCCGAGCUUAACUUGGGAAUUGCGCUCGAAACUACUUGGCUCGAGUGUGGCAGAGGAAGGUGGAAUUCCACGUGUAGCGGUGAAAUGCGUUGAUAUCAUCAGGAACACCGGAGGCGAAGGCGGUCCACUGGGUCCUAUCUGACGCUGAGGGACGAAAGCUAGGGGAGCGAACGGG
rnacentral:rRNA from 1 species